UCCUAAACCCGAUUGAUACGAAAAUCCUUUUUAUUAGCAGCAAUCGCAAAUGAGCCGUUAUGCUGAGGCACGAAGCAUCUGCAACCGAUGAAACUCUUGCUUCGUUUUACGGAUAGCAGCUGUUUUAAAAAGAUUGGAGUAAAAAGCGGGACUAUCG
rnacentral:sRNA from 1 species